GACGAACGCUGGCGGCGUGCUUAACACAUGCAAGUCGAACGGAAAGGCCCUGCUUUUGUGGGGUGCUCGAGUGGCGAACGGGUGAGUAACACGUGAGUAACCUGCCCUUGACUUUGGGAUAACUUCAGGAAACUGGGGCUCAUACCGGAUAUGAUCUCCUGCUGCAUGGUGGGGUUUGGAAAGUUUCGGCUGUUGGGGAUGGACUCGCGGCUUAUCAGCUUGUUUGUGUGGUAGUGGCUUACCAAGCGUUUGACGGGUAGCCUGCCUGGGAGGGUGACCGGCCACAUGGGGACUGAGAGACGGCCCAGACUCGUACGGGAGGCAGCAGUGGGGAAUAUUGCACAAUGGGCGGAAGCCUGAUGCAGCAACGCCGCGUGCGGGAUGACGGCCUUCGGGUUGUAAACCGAUUUCGCCUGUGACGAAGCGUGAGUGACGGUAAUGGGUAAAGAAGCAACGGCUAACUACGUG
rnacentral:rRNA from 1 species